rnacentral:lncRNA from 1 species
GCAGCUCCCGCCACCUUAGCAUCCAGGUCACAGCAAAGUUCAAGGAACUUAUGGUAAAGAUCAAUCACACUUAUGGCACUGCCAACAGAAGCACAUGCUUGUGGAAAAUAGCGUAAAAGAAUUUUAAGGAGGAGAGCUGGGCUCUGAAUUACACCGGAGGCAGAGCGUCUGGACAGUUUUCAUCAGAAGCCACGUCCUAGAGGUAGCGAGCUGUAAACAGUCGUUAAAAGCAACGGAGGAAUGUGUUAGGGUGGGCCCAGGAAGGUGUCAGGCCACGGCGGGCACGUGAGGGAAUGGGCACAGCCUUCAUUGUAGGCACAGAAGCUGGAGCCAGCGGGAGGAGGCAAGCGGGCAACCGAACAGAAUGGAUGAGAAAAACCGAAGCUCAGGGAACAUUUCCAAGACCAAGAGCUGAGAACGCUGCGGAGCUGAAAUUUAAAUCCAGUUUGUCAGACCCCCCCAAUCCGGUUUGUCAGCCGCCCCCCAUCCCCAAAUGAGAAUGUGAGAGGGAACAGAGUGGGUGGGGGGAGUGGAGUGAAGCCAGGAGAGGUGAAGGAGAGGGAGAAAGAGUAAAGA